ACGGGAGAGGUUCUUAGCAAUAAACCCUCUAUAAAAAACUAAGGACAU
rfam:Paraliobacillus sp. PM-2 genome assembly, contig: CONTIG000001